UACGUAGGGUGCGAGCGUUGUCCGGAAUUAUUGGGCGUAAAGAGCUCGUAGGCGGUUUGUCGCGUCUGCUGUGAAAUCCCGAGGCUCAACCUCGGGUCUGCAGUGGGUACGGGCAGACUAGAGUGUGGUAGGGGAGACUGGAAUUCCUGGUGUAGCGGUGAAAUGCGCAGAUAUCAGGAGGAACACCGAUGGCGAAGGCAGGUCUCUGGGCCACUACUGACGCUGAGAAGCGAAAGCAUGG
rnacentral:rRNA from 1 species